UACGUAGGGUGCGAGCGUUGUCCGGAUUUAUUGGGCGUAAAGAGCGUGUAGGCGGCCAUGUAGGUCCGUUGUGAAAACUCGAGGCUCAACCUCGAGACGCCGAUGGAAACCAUAUGGCUAGAGUCCGGAAGAGGAGAGUGGAAUUCCUGGUGUAGCGGUGAAAUGCGCAGAUAUCAGGAAGAACACCCGUGGCUAAGGCGGCUCUCUAGUACGGUACUGACGCUGAGACGCGAAAGCGUGGGGAGCGAACAGG
rnacentral:rRNA from 1 species